GAAACAGAGACUUGAAGAGACCAGGUGACUUGUCAAGGCCAUACACUGCCUGGGGAGGCAGACCCUCAUGGCCACAGGAAGGCGGACCACAUCCCCUGGGGCCCUGGCGCAUGGCCGGCCACGGCUCCUCGCUCACCCCACAUCGACAUGCCACGGUCGUGUCUGGUCAUCCCCCGGAAACCCCAGGUUCCAGAGAGACCCCCGGAAGUCCCCUCCUCCACCGUGCCGGGGCAUGUGUUUGGGGGCCAGACAAAUCGGGCUCCCUCCUGGCUCAUCACCGGCUGUGUGGCCUCGGGCACGUCACUGCAGUUCGCUGAGCCCCACUGGCUUCCCCAUUCGUUUGGAGCAGCGGUCGCCAACCUUUUGGACCUCAUGGAGGAUGCCUAUUUAGCAAUGUCUGCCCUGCGCCGGGCUCUGGCAUAGCUCCUGGCGCUAUUGCAGUGGAGGCGAGACAAACCUCUGCCUUCGUGGGCUUUCAUUCUGGAGGAGGGAGAGGAGAGGCACCCGAGGCAAGCACAUCAUUCAGAAGUGGAGUGUUCACGAAGAAGAUGAAGCGAGGGGCGUGAUCGUCACUGGGGAGGGGCGGGAUGGGGGACCCCCAUGCCCUGCCCUGCCUCUUGGCCCCUCUCUGCCCACCGUCUCUCUCUGGUCCCAGGAAAAAGACAAGGACGCCCGCAAGCUUCACAGCAGGCAGGAGGAGGCAUCCCUCUCUCUCCCCUUCCUCCUCCGUACCCUCCCACCACAGCCCGUGAUUUUCCUGCCUUUAACAAGGCGAUUUUA